CGGACGGGUGAGUAACACGUGGGUAACCUGCCUGUAAGACUGGGAUAACUCCGGGAAACCGGGGCUAAUACCGGAUGCUUGUUUGAACCGCAUGGUUCAAACAUAAAAGGUGGCUUCGGCUACCACUUACAGAUGGACCCGCGGCGCAUUAGCUAGUUGGUGAGGUAAUGGCUCACCAAGGCAACGAUGCGUAGCCGACCUGAGAGGGUGAUCGGCCACACUGGGACUGAGACACGGCCCAGACUCCUACGGGAGGCAGCAGUAGGGAAUCUUCCGCAAUGGACGAAAGUCUGACGGAGCAACGCCGCGUGAGUGAUGAAGGUUUUCGGAUCGUAAAGCUCUGUUGUUAGGGAAGAACAAGUGCCGUUCAAAUAGGGCGGCACCUUGACGGUACCUAACCAGAAAGCCACGGCUAACUACGUGCCAGCAGCCGCGGUAAUACGUAGGU
rnacentral:rRNA from 1 species